CUGCAGGUGAUUCAUUCUGAUGUGGUUUGAUUCUGACAGGUGAUUCAUUCUGAUGCGGUUUGAUUCUGACAGGUGAUUCAUUCUGAUGUGGUUUGAUUCUGACAGGUGAUUCAUUCUGAUGGGGUUUGAUUCUGACAGGUGAUUCAUUCUGAUGUGGUUUGAUUCUGACAGGUGAUUCAUUCUGAUGGGGUUUGAUUCUGACAGGUGAUUCAUUCUGAUGUGGUUUGAUUCUGACAGGUGAUUCAUUCUGAUGCGGUUUGAUUCUGACAGGUGAUUCAUUCUGAUGGGGUUUGAUUCUGACAGGUGAUUCAUUCUGAAGCGGUUUGAUUCUGACAGGUGAUUCAUUCUGAUGCGGUUUGAUUCUGACAGGUGAUUCAUUCUGAUGUGGUUUGAUUCUGACAGGUGAUUCAUUCUGAUGGGGUUUGAUUCUGACAGGUGAUUCAUUCUGAUGUGGUUUGAUUCUGACAGGUGAUUCAUUCUGAUGCGGUUUGAUUCUGACAGGUGAUUCAUUCUGAUGUGGUUUGAUGUUCUCAACACCUGGGGACAUGGUACUGUGUCCCAAAUAGCACCAUAGUCCCCUCGUAGUGCACUACAUUUGACCAGAGCCCUAUGGGAAAUACAAAGGGAAUAGGGUACCAUUUGGGACUCCUGUAGUCAGUAGUCUCCUGUAGUCAGUAGCCACCUGUAGUCAGUAGUCUCCUGUAGUCAGUAGCCACCUGUAGUCAGUAGUCUCCUGCAGUCAGUAGCCACCUGUAGUCAGUAGUCUCCUGCAGUCAGGACAACCAACAGGUGAAUAUUAUUAUUCAGACCUGGACAGACGUUAACCUGUCCUCUCCACAUCACCACCUGAAGGACAGGACAACCAACAGGUGAAUAUUAUUAUUCAGA
rnacentral:lncRNA from 1 species